rnacentral:rRNA from 1 species
AUACGGAGGGUGCGAGCGUUAAUCGGAAUUACUGGGCGUAAAGCGUACGUAGGCGGUUGGUUAAGUUAGAUGUGAAAGCCCCGGGCUUAACCUGGGAACUGCAUUUAAAACUGGCGAACUAGAGUUGAGUAGAGGGGAGUGGAAUUUUAGGUGUAGCGGUGAAAUGCGUAGAGAUCUGAAGGAACACCAGUGGCGAAGGCGACUCCCUGGACUCGAACUGACGCUGAGGUACGAAAGCGUGGGUAGCAAACGGGAUUAGAUACCCCAGUAGUCC